rnacentral:lncRNA from 1 species
CAGUGAGCGAGAUGCACUAUUGAUCCAGCCUCCAGCCUGUGAUACAUCAAGACUCAGUCUCAAAAAAAAAAAAAAAAAAAAAACAGAAAGAAGGGAGAAAGAGAUUAAUUAUUUAAUUUGGAGUGGGAAAAUCAGAUUUAACUACUAAUUAUUUCUUGUUAUUUAAAAAGGAGUUUGUGAUUAUGCCAUUGUAAAGUGCUCUAUAUAAGCAUACUUGAUCAAUAUCAUGAUGCUAUUCACACUGGGCAAGCUGGUCACAUUUAUAUUGCUGUGGAUGGUAACUUAGACAUUUUCACUCUGCUGUGUUCAUCAUUCCUUACAGGUAUGCAGAUCAGUGAGAAGACCUCAGUUUUUAUCACUCAAUUGCUUGGAACUGUAAACUUUGAGAACAUGGAUACUUUCUAUAGAAGAGGGAUUUCUUAUUUUGGAACUCUUAAAUUUUCGGAUCCCAAUAAUGUACCUAUGGUGAACAAGUUGUUGCAACUGGAGCUCAGUGAUGAAUUUAUAGGAAAUUACACUACAGAUGAGAAUGGCGAAGCUCAAUUUUCCAUUGACACUUCAGACAUAUUUGAUCCAGAGUUCAACCUAAAAGUAAGACAUCAAAGAACAGAAGAAGACCAUUAGACAUCCCACAGAGGAUUUGGAUAUCAGAAAUGUUAAACAUUAGGAAUAUCUCAAAAGAUAGCUUGUAUACAGAAUAUAUUUUAAAGAAAAUUUAAAAUGUAACUUAUUUUAUAAAUUUGCUUGUUCACUAAAUAAUACAUGAGAAUACUUGUUCAAGAGGAUGGGAAGCUAAAAGUCUAUCACGAUUGUUAUCAAUUUGCUAACAACUAAUAUUUUCCUCUAGGAAACAAGAAGUAGCUCAUGAGGAUGAUUUGACUUUCUUCCUCAGAUCAUUUCAUGCAUAGAUAGGGGAGAUCCUAUACUUUCUGUUUAUUUUCUGCUGCUUAAACAGAAUUUUGC